ensembl:lncRNA
GGCUUGUUCAAGAACCCCCGGUGCAGAGGGUGGUGACGCGCUGGUCCGCCCACUCAGAAGCCAUGCUACAGGUGGCUCUUGAUGACGUAGACUGGGACAUGUUUUGGGCAAGUUCAUCUGACAUCAGUGAGUUCACGGAUGUAGCAUUAAGCUUGGUAAACACGCUAGCCGAGCAAGUAACUGAAACAGUAACUAUAAGGACCUUCUCUAAUCAGAAACCGUGGUUGGACAGAACAAUCCAUGCAGCAGUAAACAAACGCACUGUUGCUUACAACACUGGUCUUUUGUCGGGGAACAUGAACGAGUACAAAGCAUCGUGCUAUGCUCUCCGACGUGCAGUAAGAGCCGCCAAAGUCCUAUACAGGGAACGAAUAGAGUCUCAUUUUCAGCUAAAUGACUCCCGACGCAUGUGGCAAGGACUAAGGACCAUCUGUGCCUUUGGAAACAAAUUCUCCGCAGAGGUGAGAGCAGAUCCGUUGCUGGCUGAUGAGUUAAACUCUUUCUACGGCUGCUUUGAAAACAAUCUAAGCAGCGCGAGUCUGCCGAUCAGCACGUCAGAAAGCAGCAGUCAGAGCAGCCAUAAUCAUGUAAUCACCGUGUCGGAGGAUGAGGUUUGGAGGGCUCUAAAGCAGGUGAACAUCAGGAAAGCAGCCGGACCUGAUGGGAUUUCUGGCCGUGUUCUGAGGUCCUGCGCUUAUCAGCUUGCUGGUUUGUUUACAUCCAUCUUUAAUGAGUCUCUUGCUACAUCGGUGGUUCCCACCUCCUUUAAGAAAUCUGUCAUCAUCCCUGAGCCUAAGAACAAUAAACCCUCUUGUCUGAAUGACUGUCCAAUUGCCCUCACAUCAAUAGUCAUGAAGGUCUUUGAGGGACUGGUUAAAAAGUACAUUUGCUCCUCCAUCCCGGAUACUUUGGACCCUCUUCUGUUUGCUUAUCGCCCCAACAGAUCCACUGAUGAUGCCAUCUCUCACAUCCUGCACUCUAUUUAUCGUCUGCUAUUUAUCGACUAUAGCUCAGCUUUCAAUACUAUAGUCCCCAUAAAGCUAGCUUCUAAACUCAUAGACCUCGGCCUGAAUUCUUCACUCUGCAACUGGAUUCAAGACUUCCUCACCGGCAGACCUCAAGUGGUGAAAGUAGGCCAGUUCAGGGUUGGGACUGGAUCCGCCUCUGGUGCCAACGUUCUGAAUUUCUGGAA